rnacentral:rRNA from 1 species
UGGUAUUCAUUAGUCCGAACUUUAUAAAACUAAAGUAGUAAACAGUUAUUCUCUCGAAACUUAAAGGAAUUGGCGGUGUUUUUGUCGAGUUAGAGGAACCUGCCCUGUGAUCGAUACACCACGAAGUAUCUUACUUCACCUAGUAAAUAUACAGCUUGUAUACCACCAUUACAGGUGUUCUUAAUAAAGAUGCAUUUAAAUAGGCCUGGCUCUAGAAAGUCAAUUACCGCCGCUUGUUAUCUAUGGGUAGUAAAUAAUGAAUGGUUAUUCAGGUAAAACCUCUAGCAAGUUAGACCCUAGUAAAUUAGGUCAAGGUGCAGCUUAUGGUGAAGGUUGAGGUGGGUUACAAUUUUCCUGAA